UGAGGAAUAUUGGUCAAUGGGCGAGAGCCUGAACCAGCCAAGUAGCGUGCAGGAUGACGGCCCUAUGGGUUGUAAACUGCUUUUAUGUGGGGAUAAAGUGCGUGACGUGUCAUGCAUUGCAGGUACCACAUGAAUAAGGACCGGCUAAUUCCGUGCCAGCAGCCGCGGUAAUACGGAAGGUCCGGGCGUUAUCCGGAUUUAUUGGGUUUAAAGGGAGCGUAGGCUGUCUAUUAAGCGUGUUGUGAAAUAUACCGGCUCAACCGGUGGCUUGCAGCGCGAACUGGUCGACUUGAGUAUGCAGGAAGUAGGCAGAAUUCAUGGUGUAGCGGUGAAAUGCUUAGAUAUCAUGACGAACUCCGAUUGCGCAGGCAGCUUACUGUAGCAUAACUGACGCUGAUGCUCGAAAGUGCGGGUAUCAAACAGG
rnacentral:rRNA from 1 species